UGGAUUAGGCAUGCAAGUCGAACGAUCCCGCAAGGGAUAGUGGCAAAAGGGUGAGUAACACAUGAGCAAUCUACCUUCGAGUGGGGAACAACCCUGGGAAACCGGGGCUAAAACCGCAUAAGACCACGGCUCGGCAUCGAGCUGUGAUAAAAAGUAGGGACCGCAAGGCCUGCUUCUUGAAGAUGAGCUCGUGUCCUAUCAGCUUGUUGGCGGGGUAAUGGCCCACCAAGGCUUUUGACGGGUAGCUGGUCUGAGAGGAUGGUCAGCCACAUUGGGACUGAGACACUGCCCAGACUCCUACGGGAGGCUGCAGUCGAGGAUCUUUUGCAAUGCUCGAAAGAGUGACAAUGCGACGCCGCGUGUGUGAUGAAGGCCUUCGGGUCGUAAAACAC
rnacentral:rRNA from 1 species